CGCACAUUGCACCCUCUGGUAUUCCAGAGGGUAUGCCUGUUUGAGCGUCAUUUCUCUCUCAAACCCCCGGGUUUGGUAUUGAGUGAUACUCUUAGUCGAACUAGGCGUUUGCUUGAAAUAUAUUGGCACGAGUAGUGUUGAACAGUGUUGUCUGAACAUCAAUGUAUUAGGUUUAUCCAACUCGUUGAUACAGGUGGUGCGAUUCUUCAUUAGGCUUUGCCUUAUAAAACACAAACAAGUUUGACCUCAAAUCAGGUAGGAUUACCCGCUGAACUUAA
rnacentral:misc_RNA from 1 species